rnacentral:rRNA from 1 species
AAUCAACGCUGGCGGCGUGCCUAACACAUGCAAGUCGAACGCGAAAGUGGAGCAAUCCAUGAGUAGAGUGGCAAACGGGUGAGUAACGCGUGGGUGGACCUCGCCUUCCGUAGUGGGGNGGGUAACGUUACCGGUAACGGGAAACGGGACGUACUAACCGUACCGACUAAACUAAACUACCUUCCGUCGUUUUUAACGUUUUUAAAGGGUAGGGGUACGGAACUACUAAACGAAACCGUCCGGGUACCGGGGACCCGAACGGAACCGGACCGGACGGGCCGUUCGUUAA